AGAGUUUGAUCCUGGCUCAGAUUGAACGCUGGCGGCAUGCCUUACACAUGCAAGUCGAACGGCAGCACGGGAGCAAUCCUGGUGGCGAGUGGCGAACGGGUGAGUAAUAUAUCGGAACGUGCCCAGCCGUGGGGGAUAACGCAGCGAAAGCUGUGCUAAUACCGCAUACGAUCUAUGGAUGAAAGCGGGGGACUCGUAAGGGCCUCGCGCGAUUGGAGCGGCCGAUAUCAGAUUAGCUAGUUGGUGGGGUAAAAGCCCACCAAGGCGACGAUCUGUAGCUGGUCUGAGAGGACGACCAGCCACACUGGAACUGAGACACGGUCCAGACUCCUACGGGAGGCAGCAGUGGGGAAUUUUGGACAAUGGGCGCAAGCCUGAUCCAGCAAUGCCGCGUGCAGGAUGAAGGCCUUCGGGUUGUAAACUGCUUUUGUACGGAACGAAACGGUGAGCUCUAAUAAAGUUUGCUAAUGACGGUACCGUAAGAAUAAGCACCGGCUAACUACGUGCCAGCAGCCGCGGUAAUACGUAGGGUGCAAGCGUUAAUCGGAAUUACUGGGCGUAAAGCGUGCGCAGGCGGUGAUGUAAGACAGAUGUGAAAUCCCCGGGCUCAACCUGGGACCUGCAUUUGUGACUGCAUCGCUAGAGUACGGUAGAGGGGGAUGGAAUUCCGCGUGUAGCAGUGAAAUGCGUAGAUAUGCGGAGGAACACCGAUGGCGAAGGCAAUCCCCUGGACCUGUACUGACGCUCAUGCACGAAAGCGUGGGGAGCAAACAGGAUUAGAUACCCUGGUAGUCCACGCCCUAAAACGAUGUCAACUGGUUGUUGGGUCUUCACUGACUCAGUAACGAAGCUAANCGCGUGAAGUGACCGCCUGGA
rnacentral:rRNA from 1 species